rnacentral:ncRNA from 1 species
UGUUUGGAGAGUUUGAUCCUGGCUCAGGACGAACGCUGGCGGCGUGCUUAACACAUGCAAGUCGAACGGAAAGGCCCUUCGGGGUACUCGAGUGGAGAA